rnacentral:rRNA from 1 species
UACGUAGGGAGCAAGCGUUGUCCGGAAUCAUUGGGCGUAAAGCGCGCGUAGGUGGCCUCAUAAGUCCGUUGUGAAAGUCAAAGGCUCAACCUUUGAAAGCCGAUGGAUACUGUGAGACUAGAGUACGGAAGAGGCGAGUGGAAUUCCUGGUGUAGCGGUGGAAUGCGCAGAUAUCGAGAGGAACACCUGCGGCGAAGGCGGGUUGCUGGGCUGACACUGACGCUGAUGCGCGAAAGCUAGGGGAGCGAACGGG